rnacentral:rRNA from 1 species
GACGAACGCUGGCGGUGUGCUUAACAUAUGCAAGUCGAACGGAAAGGCCCUGCUUUUGUGGGGUGCUCGGGUGGCGAACGCGUGCGUAACACGUGAGUAACCUGCCCUUGACUUUGGGGUAACUUCAGGAAACUGGGGCUAAUAUCGUACCGGAGCCCCCGUAGCAUGGUGGGGGUUGGAAAGUCUCGGCGGUCGUGGAUGGACGCGCGGCUUAUCAGCUAGUUGGUGGGGGAGUGGCUUACCAAGGCUUGGACGGGUAGCCGGCCUGGGAGGGUGACCGGCGACAUUGGGACUAAGGGACGGCCCAGACUCCUACGGUAGGCAGCAGUCGCGAAUAUUGCACAAUGGGCGGGAGCCUGAUGCAGCGACGCCGCGUGCGGGAUGACGGCCUUCGGGUAGUAAACCGCUUUCGCCUGUGACGCAGCGUGAGUGACGGUAAUGGAUAAAGAAGCACCGGCUAACUUCGUG